UUUGAACCUUGGACCUCUUGCAUGCUAGGCAACUGCUCUGCCAUUGAGCUAUACACCAGUACUUAUGCUUUGGGGUUGUGAGCUGAGAAUUGAAUGCAGGGCCUUGAGCAGCUAGGUACAACUGGAAGUCAGAGCUGGAGGAAGCCAUAGAGACCGACUGACUUAACUGACUCCUCCUACAGAUGGGGAAACUGAGCUCCAAAGACGUCCUAUGACUCAGUGGGUCAGCUUGGGGUACUGAUCUCUGUAUUCUUGGUCCAGCACUAUUUCUGCUGCUCCUGAUGGUACUAACUGAGCAUCAGCCAUGGUUCUGGAGGCCCCUUCUUGGGGUUGAAUGACUACGAGGGCUCCUGGCUCAGAACUGGUUUUUAUCCCUGGUCAGAAGUCUUGAGUCCAUUCUCCUGGAGCCUCUGUCCUUAUUCUCCUCAGUUUGGACGGAAUCACAUUUAAGUCCCCAAGGCCCCCAUUCUUGCUGCUGACUGGAUAGAACUCGAGGACUUUGGAACGUUUGUGCAUCUAGCACACAGAGAUUGAGCUCACAGCACAGGAGUGUUAGGUAAAACCUUAAGAAGAGCCUCUCCACCAAAGCAAAAUAACUCCAAUUAGACCAAAUCAAAAAUGCCCGCAUUUAAUAAAUGCAGUGCUCUCGGGUGGCUGGGAGCAUGGGGGUAUGGGGGAUGGGACACAACAUGGGACAGAGAGGGAGAGCACAGGUAAAACCCGAAACCACGGGUUCCUUUUUCUGGCCAGGAGCCUAAAUAGCCUGUGGGAGUGGUCCUGAUCCUCCCUGGCGUUUGGCUGGCUUUCCCAGAGGUGGAGUCUAGCCCAAGGCAAGCCCAGUGGGAGGGGACCUGUAUGGUUUAAUUGGAGUGAUUUUGCUUCAGCGGAGAGGCUCUUCUUAAGAUUUUUCCUAACAAGGAGCAAGGACUGAGGGAGCAAGGAUUGAGGGAGGAAAGAUUGAACAGUUGGCCAUUAUCCUGGCUCAUGGGGCAGGAGCGGGUUAUUGAGAAUAGAGAGGAGUGUAGCAAAGACACCCAAGGGUCACCACUUCCUUCCUCUUGGAUGCCCAAACCCCAAGUGUGGCUGGAAUAAGCUUUGCAUCCACCUCUGUUUCAAAGCUGUUAUCUCAGUCCCAUAAAAAACAUGAUUAUCAUUAUUCUUAUCAGGAUGUGUGUGCAGGUGUACCAUGACACUCAUGGGGAGGUCAGAGAACAACUUGCUGGGAUCAGUUUUCCCGCCACGUGAGUCCUUGGGGUCAGACUCAGGUCAUCGGGUUUAGAAGCAAGGGCCUUUACCUACUAAACCAUCUGGAUGGACCCAUUUCAUCAGCUCCAUUUUAAAUGUGGCCAAAUCUGUAGCACCAUCCAUUUACCGCUGUGUUGCUUUCAUGAUAUAUGAAGACAGUUUAUGGAUGUUCUGUGAUCUGAGCACAUGCUCAGACAGCAGAAGCAUCUGUGCGGAGGCAUCCCGAAUGCCACAGCGCAGUCCCCUAAAGGAGCCAGUGUCCCUGAGAUUUCCUUUUCCUCAGCCAUCAGUGGCCAAAUAUGGGGACUUGCUAGACAACGGCCCAACUCAGAAUUGCUCAUCUUCAAGAUUAUAGAAGAUUCCUUCUAUAAAACGAGUCUCCUUAGUCUCCUCUUUCCAGGAUUUACCAGCCAUUACCUGGGUGCAGCCAUCUUUUGCUCUCCUUCUGGAAUGCAGCCCCAGUAUGGGAAGAGAAGAAGGCACACUUCUAAGGCAGCCUGAUGUUGACAAAUACAAAGGGGGCAUUGAGGUAAGUAACCCUAAAAAAAUAUGGAUUAAAAAAAGUUCUCCUAGACGUCUGGAGUCAUGUCACCGUGAUGUACAUUUGAUUAAAAGACUUUUUCACUUUUCACCCAGAUGUUUAAAGUCAGAAAGACUCACCCAGGUCUGUGUAAAUAAGAAGCUACUCGGCCUCUCAGCAUCCAGAGGCAAAUGAGAACAAGGCCCAACCCAGAGAAAUUAGCUGGUGGUGGAUGAUGGCCGGUGCAGAUCUAAGGAGAUCGUUCAGGGCGUGUUUGUAAUCCACGAGACAGUCACUCAAGGUGGAUCGGGGCAGGGAAGCUAAAUGAAGUGAUUUGAAAGCUAAAAACAGCAAGCGUAUGAUGCUAUCCAGGAACCAUCUAAGGAGAAAACUCCAGCGAGGCAGAUCGAGAAUUUAAAAACAACACUCUCCGCCCCUACUACUCUGUGACAUCUGUUAACACAGAGGCAGGGCCAUUUCCUGGAAAGGUCCUUUGUGUUUACAAGGGUGAGACCCUCUUAAUGUUUCUGUGACUUUAAUUAAAGGGCUGAAGGAUGGAGCUACAUCCCGAGCAUGUCCCAGGAGGGAACUUGUUAUACACAAUGCCUCAUAUUCAAACGGAAAGAGCAAAACCCAAUCAACAAUCCAGAUGUUGGUGCUUUUCCAUGGAUGAUCUGUGUGAUUCUUGCAGAAAGGGCAGGAGGAGAAUGCGCUGGAGUGGAAAAAUGCCUUUGAAGGUUAAGAGCUAAAUUUGGGGCUCAAGAGGAUCUAGAAAGGGUGGGGCAGCUUCUAAGGCAGCCAAGAAGAUUCAAGAGGACACUGAGAUGCCAAGAGUCAUGGGGCUGACACUUCAGGAAUGCUUCCUUAAGCUGGAAAAGAGAAUGGGCCAGAGCACACACUCUAGAGGAACAGGAAUGUGGAUAAUCCCUAGUUCUGGAAACAGCCCCAAAUCAUCAAGGAUUAGCUUGGGAAUAGAGGGUGUAGUCUGGAGACAAGAGGAGCUUCUUCCAUACACAAAGUUGACUUGAGUCCCCCAGGAGUUCCUGCUGAGUGGGCUAGCGACGAUGCACACCCGGAGUUCUAUUGACUUACGGGUACAACUCUGGACUUCUGAGAACGGUGUUGUGUACUUCUGAGAGUGGUGUUUCAUUCCAUCCGUCUUGGGGACACUUGGUUUAUUUUGGAGUAUCCCACUCCAGGGCUCUUUGUUUGCCACUUGCUGCCUAGAAUGAGGAACAUUCUGUGUUGUUUCAUUUUUUGCUCCACUUAAAGGCGAAAAUCUUGUUUCCACACUGUUUCUAGCAUAAACUCUUCUGGGUGGCAUGCGGGAUUGAAUUUUCUGGCCUUCAGGACGGUCUCCAUCUCGCCUCUUUUAAAUGGGCACUUUCCAAAUGCAGUUUCAUGUCCCCUUCACCUUUACACAAUACCCUGGGGACUUCUGAACAGGAGACCUGUGCUCACCACUAACCGUCCUACAGCCCAGUCAGCAAGCAGCCCACCACCCCGUGGCCAUGCAUGGAGGGAGCGGCUGCUUCAUGCUUGUUGUGGGGCAGGAAAGGCAAAGAAGUAUAAUUUAUGGACUCUGCUCUCCAACAGAGUAUAAUCUCAUUAAAAUAUUAUGAUUGGUAGAUACACAAAUAAUUUUUUUAAAGAAUAU